GUGGGGAAUAUUGGACAAUGGGGGGAACCCUGAUCCAGCCAUGCCGCGUGUGUGAAGAAGGCCUUUUGGUUGUAAAGCACUUUAAGCGAGGAGGAGGCUACCGAGAUUAAUACUCUUGGAUAGUGGACGUUACUCGCAGAAUAAGCACCGGCUAACUCUGUGCCAGCAGCCGCGGUAAUACAGAGGGUGCAAGCGUUAAUCGGAUUUACGGGGCGUAAAGCGCGCGUAGGUGGCCAAUUAAGUCAAAUGUGAAAUCCCCGAGCUUAACUUGGGAAUUGCAUUCGAUACUGGUUGGCUAGAGUAUGGGAGAGGAUGGUAGAAUUCCAGGUGUAGCGGUGAAAUGCGUAGAGAUCUGGAGGAAUACCGAUGGCGAAGGCAGCCAUCUGGCCUAAUACUGACACUGAGGUGCGAAAGCAUGGGGAGCAAACAGGAUUAGAUACCCCAGUAGUCC
rnacentral:rRNA from 1 species